GGGCCCGUAGCUCAGCUGGAUAGAGCGACGGCCUCCUAAGCCGUAGGUCUCCGGUUCAAAUCCGGACGGGUCCGCCA
rnacentral:tRNA from 2 species